rnacentral:lncRNA from 1 species
CUCAGAAGAGAGAAGAUAGGGGUUUCGUAGCAGUUUAUAUACAAUUCAAAUAAUAUCAAAGCGAUAAAAAACAACGUUUAGCACAUUAGGCCCAAACAUGUAAUAAAAUCAGAUAAUAAAUAUAGCCAAUUAUAACAAUUAUUCUAAGCUCGAAUUCUUGAACCCUGAACUAGAGAUUCUGGGUUCUUUUCCCCAGCAGAGUCGCCAGAGCUGUCACACCUCCUUUUUACCUACACCCGAAAAGGGGUAUAUGGAGUUUUUUCCAACUUAAAGUGACAAUCGAAACGAGAUUAUUUUUAUGUAAAAUUCAGAGUCGCCACUUGGGAUAAUUUAUGGUGUCCCAAGUCACCGGUUCAAAUCCCGAAUUGAGGAAAAUAUUGACUCUGUUACAGUCCGCAAACACAGAAAUCCGGUUAAGAAAUUCUAUUAACCCGGGAGAAGGUGUUAGGCAUUCCCGAGUUCCGUGGUUCUAGCACGGUCGCUCAAUUGUUAUAAUUGGCCUAUUUACUUGAUUUUAGUACAUGUUUUAGCCUAUGGUGCAAUUUUAACUUUAAAACCGCUUUUAUUUAAUUAUUUUUAGGAAGAUUUCAACGUAAUUUAAAACACGUCAAAAACACGUCACAUAAAUGCACCCGCGGUCGCCGACAUAUUUUAUCUAACGUUGUUGAGAGUGAAUUUGGGACACAUAAAUGCACACCCGAGUUUAAGGAGAUUAAUUUAAAUAUAGCGCCUAAAGCAACUAUGCACUUUCAAGUUUGCGAGGGUCAUGGAAAAUUCAACUAAAUGUCACACUCCGAUUUCUAAAGGAUUAAAAUUAAUUAAGUGAGGGUCAAGGGUUAUGGAGUUUUCUAGCGAAUGGCGCACCUCAACUUGCUUCAAAAGAAUGUAUUCAACUAAAACAAACCAUGAAUGUUCAUAAUUAAUUAUUUCCUAAACUAAUUUGAGAUUGUUGUGAGACCAUGAAUUAUGAAAAUAACUUUGUGGAUGAAGUACACCAUUUAUUAAACCAAAGGUUUGCUUCAACUCAACACUUUACGGCCAAAUUACUUGAACUAGAUAUCGGCUUAACUCGUGAAUCAAUCCCACAUAAUGAGCAAAGCAGAUGGACCUAAUAAUUGAAAUAUCAAUUCCAAAGACAUGAUUAGAUAAAAAGUGAAAAGAUCCGAACAAAAUAAAUUCUAUACAAAAAGACUAAAUUGCUAAUGCUUCAACAGAAAACCCUACAUUUUGCAACUUAAGAACUAAAUAUUAUUAAAUUGCUCACCAAAUAAUGCACCCACCCUUUAUUAGUUCAAAAUCAGCCUGCUUAAUUUUGUUAAUUUAAGUCUGUUGCCAUCAAAAUAUUAAUUGUGAAGCUUAAAACAAUUAUCUCUUAAUAAAGCAAGGAAACAUGGAAUCAAAAGAAACUUAUUCUAGCCAUCAAAACCCAUCCAAACAGAUUAAACUAAAAUAUAUACAUAAACAAUAAUUUGCAACAAAAUGGAGUAAACAAAUAUUGCCAAGGCAUCUUGAAACAGAGCAAAGAAGCAUCAGUUCAAAUAUUUAACGAAAUAGAGCAACGACAAAUUAGCGAAGUAAUGAAAUCAUGAUAUUAAGCAAAAUAGAAGAAGAAAAGAAGAAAUAGACCUUAAAUGAAUUUGAAAUUUAAAUGAGUGGCAGCUUAGAAACGCAAAAGUGACAAAACCGCGAACAAGAUCUCCACCGGAGAGCCUCGUCGGACAUCUUACUGAACUCAACCCAUGAUUUAUACCUUUAUUAAUCUUGAGAACGAAAGAAAGAGAUGGAGACCAAAACGGGUAGAGACGAAGUUUUUGGGUGAUUUCGAUUAGUAGGCAACAAUAUGGAGAUCAACUUGUCAACCAAUCGCAGAGGAAAAAGGUUGGGUGUUAUGGAAGGAAAUUAAGAAGAAAGAUCACUAAGUGUGUGAAUUUGCUGUCCAAUGUGAGUGAUGCGGCACUAAGGAUUUUUUCUAUUCUUUCCUUGUUCCUUCCGUUCUAUCUCCUCUCUACUGUAUAUCCCUUUUUAAGUAUCAAAAUGUGAGUGUCUAGAAAGCCCUAAAAACGUGUGGGCCCCCUAUUGCUUUGAGAAUGUUCUCACCAAAAUGCCUAUGUGCUCACAUGAAAUAAACAAAUAAGGAUCCAACAACAAAAUGGAAAGCCACG